AUAAACUUUCCAAAUGACUUGCACUAACAGAAGGAUGGAUUCCAGUGUUAAUUCUGAUUCAGUAGCUUUUUUGGAGCAAAAGGAAGCUACACAAACCUCAAUCCUUCCAUUUGUGUUAAAGAAGGCGCUGCCAAUAAGGGACAGGUCGAGCAGCAGGAAUCAAAGAAGGGAGAACGCGAUUACAGCAGAGAGAACGAGUGACUCCUGCAUAUAUGAACACCAGGAGCAAGAACCAACAAAAAACUUGCUCUGGUGCAACUGACUGACUGGCCCCAGAAAGCAAUGGAUCAUUUGGGCAACAAAACAAGAAAACUGCUUCAUGCAUAUCACAUUACAUACAAAAGCCAGUGCAUGGAAAGACUAUGUAUCCUGCAGGGUAAGCAGGUAUUGGUCUCCUACUGCAGUCAUGGGACUGCAUAGAAAUUUGAUGAUAUCAUCAGUUCCAGACAUGGUGAAAGUUCUAAACCAUGAAGAAAACAAGUCUCUUAAGAUGUUAUCUUUGUCUAGAUCAGCUGAAGCAUUUUAGAAAGGAGUAGGAGUGGAAAUUAAACCAAAAGCACACAAAAAUCGGGCUGCAACAGAAUAUGGGAAAUACAUGAAAGAAUAUGAAGAACACAAUCAUAAGAAACUGAACGAAAACUGGAAAGGCCACAACUACAGUGGAAAGUAUACAGAACUCCUGAGGCAACAACAUGCUGAUCAAGAUUUGACAAAAGCAGCUAAGGAAAGGGGAAUUUUAAACUAAAAUUAAUAGAAUUAUAUAAAGUAAAACUGUUUUCCUUAUAGUAAUGACAUAUAUUUGAUAGAAAAUAUAUAUAUAAUUUAGUAGAACUGUUUUUCUUUCACAGUAACAGAGGUCUGGCAAAACUGCUUUCUAUCACAGUAACAGUGUGAUAUUUCUAGAAACAGCAUGUAAAACAGUAAGUAAAGAAAAUAAAUAUGCAAUAAACAAGUAUGAUUAACUUAA